UAGAAAAAAGGCGGCUGCAGCUCUCCUUCGCCGGAAAUCGCCCGAUUUUUUUUCUCCAAUGGAUUUCUCCCUCAUCCGACGAGCUUUUGAGGUGAAACAAAGCCCAGAACAGUUCGCCACUUUCCCACGAACAGCCUGGUGCCCUCCUUUCCUCCCCUCACGGCGGCUACGCGGCGGUGGAGCUAGAAACCGAUUUUAGCUGAAUUUUGAGUCAACGCCGAUAUCUCGAGUUCUAGACGAUCAAUCUUCGAGAUUCUUGGACAGAUGAACUCGGAUUGAAGUUCUGAAACAGUUUCAUGAAGAAAUCGAAGCGAGUGGUGGACGUUUUCACGUUGAUAGGAGCUGUUGCCGGUUUCUGGAAAAAAUCCGGCUAUUCCGUGGCUUCUUCUAGGUGAUUGACGGUCUUCCUUGGUGAGCGAUUUUGGUGUGUAUUGUGAAAGUGAAGACGCAGCGGGAUUAGAGCGGGUAAUCCUACAGGUUAGGUGAAUCGAGAAGGUGAUCAGGCUGCUUAGAGUAGUGGGAUUGGAGUUACAGCUUUAUUGUGAGGUUGUUAUACUCAUUGAGCUUACAUUUAAAUUUGGAGAGAGUGUGUUGUAAUAUUAAACUCUUGAGGAUUUGGUUUAUGUAUUAGUGAGUGAGGCGAGGUGUGUUUAUCUCUGAGAAAAAAAUUCAGAACGUUUAUUUGAUUAAGUUGUUUAUUUCAUGUUUCGGAUUUGAAUUUAUUAUUCAAAAUUCGGGGAGUGACAGAGAGUCUGAAGAACGCCGGUUAAAUAAUAACCGAGAUGUAGUGCUCUGAGGACAUGGGGAAAGUCCGAAGACCGCCGGUUAAAUAUUGACCGAGAUGUAUAUCGUUUACUUAAACCUUGGCUGAGGUGAUAGGUAACGAUGUAGUUAGAAACUCUAACGUAGGGUCAAGUUGGACCAAAGUGGUGCUAUGUGGGUUGGGUGUCUGUAGGACCAGUGUGGUGUAUUGUGAUUUGAGGAUUGUGGAAAUGUAUUUCUUGUGGUUUUCUAUGAGUGGUUUAACGUCUCUUUGCAGACGUAAUACUGUUGAAUUUUUUCUGGAAUUGUAAGAAUCAUAAUUUAAUAAAUCAACAUUUCCUUCUUGUUUACUCAUACGGGCUGUCAUGGCUUACCGGGUUUGGUGUUGUUGCAAUCCCGGUACACUAUUCAAAUUGUGUAGCAGGUAGUCCUGCAGGUCAGGAGGAUCAUGACGGAGAUCGUGCGGAUUAGAGUAUUUGUUUUUAGUUUUACAGCCUUGUAAAUUGUGAGGUGAGUGAUGCUCAAUUUGAGCUUUACAAAUUUACUUUGUACAAGUGAGUUGUAUUAAUUAAACUGAGGCUUUCGAGAUUUGAAAUUUGAGUGGCGUGUGUUGUAGUUGUUUAUUCAUGUUUCGGAUUUGAAUUUAUUAUUCAAAAUUCGGGGCGUGACACAUUUGCUAACCAACUAGGAAAGCUUAUGCCCCCAUACGAAUGAAUCGUGAGGAUUCUUUGUUUUCUAUAAGGUUGAAAGUUAACUAGCACUAAUUCAUUUCUUUUUUUUCUGUUUUUGUGAAUCGUCAGUGUCAAGGUGUCACCUCUUCAUGAAUAAACUAGUCCAUCAAGAUACUUCUUCUCCCCUAUAUUGGCCUCCAAAGCAUCUUUGACAUAGACAAUAUUAUGAAGCCCUGAAAUAUGAAGUACUUCUCGCAAAUGCCAAAGCUUCUUCAACUCUGCAAAACCAACCUCUGAAUUCUUUCCCAACACAAAAUCACUUGACGUUUGAAGAUCUUUCAUUUUUCUCAUAUGUGGUAUUGUGGUGGCAUCCUUCCUAACUUUGUAUCUUUUGAUAUUAAGAUGGUGCAACUUUAUCAUCCUUGCCAAGCUGGAGGGCGAUUCAGUAAGAGCACGACAAUCUGUCAACAAUAAUGUUUGUAAAUUAUACAAAUCGGACACCGCAUCUGGUAACAUUUUGAUUUGAGCAUUAGAUGACAGGUCCAAGUGCCUUAGAUGUUUCAAGUUGCGAAUUGAACUGGGCAACUCCUCAAUAACAGAGCUUGAAUUAGCAUUGUAGCAUUGGCAACAGAUCAUAUAGUACCUUGGCUGGAAGGAGGGAGGGAAAUUAUUUACCUCG